GGAGUUGGUGAGGUGGUUGCGGGUUUGGGUGGCGCAAGCUGCCGCAGACCUGAGGAAAGUCCGGGCUUCCAAGGAUCAGGCCGCUGGGUAACGCCCAGUACGGGUGACCGUGAGGAAAGUGCCACAGAAACAUACCGCCAAGGCGCGAGGAUCAGGCAAGGGUGAAACGGUGCGGUAAGAGCGCACCAGCAACAUCGAGAGGUGUUGGCUCGGUAAACCCCGGUUGGAAGCAAGGUGGAGGGGCCAGGUUGAUCCUUUUCCAGCCUCGACUAAGAGCCGCUUGAGGCAUUCGGUAACGGAUGUCCCAGAUAGAUAACCGCCCCCCGCAAGGGGAACAGAACCCGGCUUACGUCCAACUCCGUCC
rnacentral:RNase_P_RNA from 1 species